rnacentral:rRNA from 1 species
GACGAACGCUGGCGGCGUGCUUAACACAUGCAAGUCGAGCGGUAAGGCCCUUUCGGGGGUACGACGAGCGGCGAACGGUAGGAGUAACACGUGGGUGGACCUCGCCCUUACGCUCUGGGAGUAAGCCUGGGAAACGUGGGUCGUAAUACCGGAUAUGACUCCAUGACGCAUGUUGUGGGGUGGAAAGCCUUGUGCGGCUAGGGAUGGGCCCGCGGCCUAUCAGCUUGUUGGUGGGGUGAUGGCCACCAAGGCGACGACGGGUAGCCGGCCUGAGAGGGCGACCGGCC